AUCCUCAGCCAUACCACCCUGAAUGCCCCCAUCUCGUCUGAUCUCGGAAGCUAAGCAGGGUCGGGCCUGGUUAUUACUUGGAUAGGAGACCGCCUGGGAAUACCAGGCGGUUUAGGCUU
rnacentral:rRNA from 1 species